GAUGAACGCUGGCGGGGUGCCUAAUACAUGCAAGUCGAGCGAACGGACGAGAAGCUUGCUUCUCUGAUGUUAGCGGCGGACGGGUGAGUAACAUGUGGAUAACCUACCUAUAAGACUGGGAUAACUUCGGGAAACCGGAGCUAAUACCGGAUAAUAUUUUGAACCGCAUGGUUCAAAAGUGAAAGACGGUCUUGCUGUCACUUAUAGAUGGAUCCGCGCUGCAUUAGCUAGUUGGUAAGGUAACGGCUUACCAAGGCAACGAUGCAUAGCCGACCUGAGAGGGUGAUCGGCCACACUGGAACUGAGACACGGUCCAGACUCCUACGGGAGGCAGCAGUAGGGAAUCUUCCGCAAUGGGCGAAAGCCUGACGGAGCAACGCCGCGUGAGUGAUGAAGGUCUUCGGAUCGUAAAACUCUGUUAUUAGGGAAGAACAUAUGUGUAAGUAACUGUGCACAUCUUGACGGUACCUAAUCAGAAAGCCACGGCUAACUACGUG
rnacentral:rRNA from 1 species